CACCGCGGUUAUACGAGAGGCCCAAGUUGACAGACCACGGCGUAAAGAGUGGUUAGGGAAAUUUCUAAACUAAAGCCGAACGCUUCCUGAGAGCUGUUAUACGCAUAUCGAAGUAUGAAGACCAACAACGAAAGUGGCUUUAACCUUUAACCUGAACCCACGAGAGCUAAGGAA
rnacentral:rRNA from 1 species